UCUUUCACAUCACGUUGAAUGCACCGGUUAUCAUCCGAGCACCCGAAGUUAAGAACGUCGAGCCUAGUCAGUACUUAGAUGGGUGACCGCUUGGAAAACCUAGGUGCUAUAAGCG
rnacentral:rRNA from 1 species